ensembl:lncRNA
CUUUUUCUUUUUUUCGGAGCUGGGGACUGAACCCAGGGCCUUGCGUUUGCUAGGCAAGCGCUCUACCACUGAGCUAAAUCCCCAGCCCCAGGGAUGGGCAAUCUUAUUUAACUCAGUUUACAUUCUCUUUUCAAUGGGUUUGUUGGUUUCCUCUCCUAGCAGCAGACACUAGGGACAGGAGACCAGCAAAUCACUGUGUUCAUUGUGCACCGUGGGUGGAUCUCAUUCUGACUGCUGCAGAGUUCUGCCUGGGCUGCAUCUGCAGCCUGGAUACUGACGAAUGGCAAGGGUGGGGCGAUCUAGGCUGGGGGUCGGGGGUGAGGGGCUGGGCAUGAACUGUGGACUCACUGUGAAGUGUGGUCGGCACUCCCACUGAAGCCACCAUCUUUGUUUAUGGCUGUCAUAAUUUACAAAUGGGACACCACGGUCAAAGGAAGCGUUACCAUGUGCCACUGCUGACAUGGAAGUUUUCGGGAGGAUGAUCUAAAUGGAAACUGGCUGUCAAGUGGGUUCCAGACGGAAGGACCCCACGGGCAGAAGUCACUGGCUGCUGAAUUAAGAGACAGGCAGCUCGUGCUUUCUUUUCUUUUCUUUUUUUUGAAAGACAGGGUUUCCGUGUGGCCCUGUCUGUCCUGGAACUUGCUCUGUAGACCAGGCUAGCCUGGACUCAAGAGAUCUGCCUGGCUCUGCCUUCGGAGUGCUGGGAUUAAAGGUGUUUAUUCACCACCAUGCCUGACUUCUUUCUCCACGGAAGGCCACUUGGUGUAGCUCCUAACAUACAGUUCUUCGUGCCCGUAGGAUUUAGAUGACCUCUAAGUGAUGAAGCUGAACCCUAAGGUGCCAUCUAGAAGAAGUUGUUACAUGACAGAGUGAAGGCUUAGUUGUGUUUUUUUUAAGUUUGAGGAUACUUUUGCCCUGGGUACCAGUUUCCAAAUUAUUAUUUACCUGUUUUUAUUUGUGUGUAUGCACGCUUGAGGAGGUCAGAAGGAGGGUAUCGGAUCCCCUGGAGCUAGAGUUCUAGGCAGCUUGAGCUGAGCUGCCUCUCCAGCCCUACACUCGGUUACUGUUGUCUUUACACAGCCUGCAGUCAAGUUCUGUGAGUUAUUCUAGGUAUCCCCACAGUCCUCAUGGCCCUGGUCAUCAGCAUCACAUACAGUUUCUAGAGUUUCUCUUGAAGCAAAAACCCUUGCGAUGAAAAUAUAAAAAAGUGGUCCCUUUCUCACUGCAAACAAGCUAUUCCCACUUCUGACUCUACUCACAGUUUGGGGGUUCAUGGUGUAUUUGAAGUCAGAGCUAAACAAGGCAGGAGGAGACAGAAGCCUGGCUUGCUCACUGGAGCACGCCAUGGGAUGCAGGAAGGAAUCCCACAGCGAGCUGAGGGGCCAGUGCGGAGAGGGAGGGUGUCAACCCGCCUGUGUGAGGCGUCUGACCCCACUCUAGCACAUCUUGAUGGACAAUCUGGACCACACAGUGCUGAGACAGAUGCUAGAUGCUGAGGUAGUACAUGUGGCCUGGUGCUGGCCCCUGACUCUGGGAGUCUAUGGUGGCCUCAGGGGAGGUGGAAGGCUCCUCCUAGUCCCCAGUUGCUCCAGGCUGGAGAUGGGUUUGGCUAUGCUGGGUGCUGACCCAGAAGCUGCUGGGAGGCAGGUGUUUGUCUUGCUGCCAGGGCUGGCUUGGUGGGAGCUGCCAGCGCAGGGAUGGUCAGGGGCUGAGAAGGCACGUUCUGGGUAGGCUGCUGCUCCCGUGCCUGGUCCAGGGAGCAGAGUUACAGCUCUCUCCUUCCUUUUUCCAGUUUUCUCUCUUUGUGUUUUUGAGACAAAGUUUCCCUGUGUGGCCCUGCCUGUCCUGGAGCUCACUUUGUAGAUUAGGCUGGCCUCGAACUCAGAGAUCUGCCUGUCUCUGCCUCCAGAGUACUGGGAUUAAAGGCAUGCGCCACCACCACUUGGCUUAAUUUUCCUUUUACAUUUACUUAGUAAUAAUGGUGUAUGUGAGUGUGUGUGUGUAGGCCAGAGGACAACUUGUGGGAAUCAGUUUUCUCUUUCUACCACAUGGAUUCUGGGAAUUAAGCUCGGGUUACCAAGCUUUAACUGUUAAGCCAUCUUGCCCUCCCCCCACCCUCCUUGAUUCUUUGACACAGUUCAAGCAACUAGAAAGCCAGGUCAGGAGAAGGGUGGGGGCUUGAAAGCCAGUAGACUAUAAGAGGAUGCUCUGAUGAAUGGAUCCAGAUCCCUCCCUCCAGAGGGCUGUGGGAAGGACCUUGUUCUCAGUCUCCUCCCAGGAUCAGGCAGGGGCCAGGAGAACAGCCUGAGGAUGGGGAGGGGAGCUGUUCUCACCAGCCGGGCUGCUCUCUCAUGAGCACCCAGUUCCUUCCCAUUUCUAGGCAGGGAUGAAGUGAACAGCUCACUUCCUACCCCAGUGCUGAGGGGCUCUGUGGCAUGCUUUCCCCAGAAGGGAUAGAAUAGGAACAAAAUGGGUUCCCUAGAAAUGUUUCACAAGAGGUAACAAAGAACCAUGCUGGCUCCCAGGGGAAGUUGGCUGAGCUUGCCAAGCACCUUCCUGGGCAGGCAGCCCAGCUCGGGACAUGAGUGUCACUUCCCAGCUUAAGGCAGAAUAGGCAGCAACAAGCUUAAAACAAAAUGUGUGUCAGCCAAACAUGAUGCUCCUGGUGGGCAUUAUGGCUUAAAGAAAUCUCUGGAAAUAAAAGACUGUUAGGGAAAGUCGGACACGAGCACCUGGGGAAGGGACUGCUGUGAUGGCUGGUGGCCAGGGGCCACAGUCAAGGGACCAAAGUGAUGAUAACAGUGGAGGGCAGAAGGCAAAGUCUAGACGGGACAUAGGAUUACCUCACAAGAGUCACGGAACGACUCCUCUUUACUAAAUAAACAGUCCCCAGGGCCCCUAGCUUGCGAGAGCUCUGGAUGUGGGCAGAGCAGCACAUGGGCUGCCCUGAGCACAGCGGGUCCCCUGGUAGUGUUGGCAGACACAAUCAGUCAGGACUGCGGAAGGCACCCUGUUACCCUAACAUCACUCCACCUGAUGGGAACAGAGGCAGAAGGCUUAAGACCUUGUCUCAAAAAACUCAAGAAAAAAAAUGCACAACAUAAAUAAACAAGACAAUGAAAUUCUGUAGUUCUGCCUACUGGUCUGAAAUGCUCCUUCAUAUGCUCACCGAAAGACCUUUAUAAGGGCCUGCUCACCUGCUCAGAGACCAGAUGGCUCC